AUAAUGGGUCAGCGACUUAUAUUCUGUAGCAAGGUUAACCGAAUAGGGGAGCCGAAGGGAAACCGAGUCUUAACUGGGCGUUAAGUUGCAGGGUAUAGACCCGAAACCCGGUGAUCUAGCCAUGGGCAGGUUGAAGGUUGGGUAACACUAACUGGAGGACCGAACCGACUAAUGUUGAAAAAUUAGCGGAUGACUUGUGGCUGGGGGUGAAAGGCCAAUCAAACCGGGAGAUAGCUGGUUCUCCCCGAAAGCUAUUUAGGUAGCGCCUCGUGAAUUCAUCUCCGGGGGUAGAGCACUGUUUCGGCAAGGGGGUCAUCCCGACUUACCAACCCGAUGCAAACUGCGAAUACCGGAGAAUGUUAUCACGGGAGACACACGGCGGGUGCUAACGUCCGUCGUGAAGAGGGAAACAACCCAGACCGCCAGCUAAGGUCCCAAAGUCAUGGUUAAGUGGGAAACGAUGUGGGAAGGCCCAGACAGCCAGGAUGUUGGCUUAGAAGCAGCCAUCAUUUAAAGAAAGCGUAAUAGCUCACUGGUCGAGUCGGCCUGCGCGGAAGAUGUAACGGGGCUAAACCAUGCACCGAAGCUGCGGCAGCGACGCUGAUGCGUUGUUGGGUAGGGGAGCGUUCUGUAAGCCUGUGAAGGUGUGCUGUGAGGCAUGCUGGAGGUAUCAGAAGUGCGAAUGCUGACAUAAGUAACGAUAAAGCGGGUGAAAAGCCCGCUCGCCGGAAGACCAAGGGUUCCUGUCCAACGUUAAUCGGGGCAGGGUGAGUCGACCCCUAAGGCGAGGCCGAAAGGCGUAGUCGAUGGGAAACAGGUUAAUAUUCCUGUACUUGGUGUUACUGCGAAGGGGGGACGGAGAAGGCUAUGUUGGCCGGGCGACGGUUGUCCCGGUUUAAGCGUGUAGGCUGGUUUUCCAGGCAAAUCCGGAAAACUAAGGCUGAGGCGUGAUGACGAGGCACUACGGUGCUGAAGCAACAAAUGCCCUGCUUCCAGGAAAAGCCUCUAAGCAUCAGGUAACAUCAAAUCGUACCCCAAACCGACACAGGUGGUCAGGUAGAGAAUACCAAGGCGCUUGAGAGAACUCGGGUGAAGGAACUAGGCAAAAUGGUGCCGUAACUUCGGGAGAAGGCACGCUGAUAUGUAGGUGAAGUCCCUCGCGGAUGGAGCUGAAAUCAGUCGAAGAUACCAGCUGGCUGCAACUGUUUAUUAAAAACACAGCACUGUGCAAACACGAAAGUGGACGUAUACGGUGUGACGCCUGCCCGGUGCCGGAAGGUUAAUUGAUGGGGUCAGCGCAAGCGAAGCUCUUGAUCGAAGCCCCGGUAAACGGCGGCCGUAACUAUAACGGUCCUAAGGUAGCGAAAUUCCUUGUCGGGUAAGUUCCGACCUGCACGAAUGGCGUAAUGAUGGCCAGGCUGUCUCCACCCGAGACUCAGUGAAAUUGAACUCGCUGUGAAGAUGCAGUGUACCCGCGGCAAGACGGAAAGACCCCGUGAACCUUUACUAUAGCUUGACACUGAACAUUGAGCCUUGAUGUGUAGGAUAGGUGGGAGGCUUUGAAGUGUGGACGCCAGUCUGCAUGGAGCCGACCUUGAAAUACCACCCUUUAAUGUUUGAUGUUCUAACGUUGACCCGUAAUCCGGGUUGCGGACAGUGUCUGGUGGGUAGUUUGACUGGGGCGGUCUCCUCCUAAAGAGUAACGGAGGAGCACGAAGGUUGGCUAAUCCUGGUCGGACAUCAGGAGGUUAGUGCAAUGGCAUAAGCCAGCUUGACUGCGAGCGUGACGGCGCGAGCAGGUGCGAAAGCAGGUCAUAGUGAUCCGGUGGUUCUGAAUGGAAGGGCCAUCGCUCAACGGAUAAAAGGUACUCCGGGGAUAACAGGCUGAUACCGCCCAAGAGUUCAUAUCGACGGCGGUGUUUGGCACCUCGAUGUCGGCUCAUCACAUCCUGGGGCUGAAGUAGGUCCCAAGGGUAUGGCUGUUCGCCAUUUAAAGUGGUACGCGAGCUGGGUUUAGAACGUCGUGAGACAGUUCGGUCCCUAUCUGCCGUGGGCGCUGGAGAACUGAGGGGGGCUGCUCCUAGUACGAGAGGACCGGAGUGGACGCAUCACUGGUGUUCGGGUUGUCAUGCCAAUGGCACUGCCCGGUAGCUAAAUGCGGAAGAG
rnacentral:rRNA from 1 species